rnacentral:ncRNA from 2 species
GACUCGAGUAGGGCGGGACACGUGAAAUCCUGUCUGAACAUGGGGGGACCACCCUCCAAGCCUAAAUACUCGUACAUGACCGAUAGCGAACACAGUACCGUGAGGGAAAGGUGAAAAGCACCCCGAUGAGGGGAGUGAAACAGUACCUGAAACCGAAUGCUUACAAGCAGUAGGAGCCUCUUUAGGGGGUGACUGCGUACCUCUUGCAUAAUGGGUCAGUGACUUAAUGUACCAUGCGAGCUUAAGCCGUUAGGUGUAGGCGCAGCGAAAGCGAGUCUGAACAGGGCGACAGAGUAUGGUGUAUUAGACCCGAAACCCGGCGAUCUAGGCAUGACCAGGUUGAAGGUGCGGUAACACGCACUGGAGGACCGAACCGUUGAAUGUUGAAAAAUUCUCGGAUGAGUUGUGUUUAGGGGUGAAAGGCCAAUCAAGCCGGGAAAUAGCUGGUUCUCCGCGAAAUCUAUUGAGGUAGAGCGUCGGAUGUAUGCCGUUGGGGGUAGAGCACUGGAUGGUUGCGGGGGUCGCGAGAUCUACCAAUACUAACCAAACUCCGAAUACCAACGAGACUUAUCCGGCAGACAGACGGCGGGUGCUAAGGUCCGUCGUCAAAAGGGAAACAGCCCUAACCUACAGCUAAGGUCCCCAAGUCAUCACUAAGUGGGAAAGCAUGUGGGAAUCCCAAAACAACCAGGAGGUUGGCUUAGAAGCAGCCAUCCUUUAAAGAAAGCGUAACAGCUCACUGGUCUAAACAAGGGUUCCUGCGGCGAAAAUGUAACGGGGCUAAAGUGAUGCACCGAAGCUUAGGGUUCAGAUCUUCGAUCUGAGCGGUAGCGGAGCGUUCCGUAAGCGAGUGAAGCGAUCUGGUAAUGGGUCGUGGACGUAUCGGAAGUGCGAAUGCUGACAUGAGUAGCGAUAAAGAGGGUGAGAUGCCCUCUCGCCGAAAGACCAAGGGUUCCUGCUUAAAGCUAAUCUGAGCAGGGUGAGCCGGCCCCUAAGACGAGCCCGAAGGGGGUAGUCGAUGGGAACCACGUUAAUAUUCGUGGGCCUGGUGGUGUGUGACGGAUCUCGUGUAUUGUCUGGCCUUAUUGGAUUGGUCAGGCUUUGAAGAGGUUCCAGGAAAUAGCCCCACCGUAUAGACCGUACCCGAAACCGACACAGGUGGUCAGGUAGAGUAUACCAAGGCGCUUGAGAGAAGUAUCCUGAAGGAACUCGGCAAAUUGCCUCCGUACCUUCGGAAGAAGGAGGCCCUGUCUAUGCGCAAGCACUGGCAGGGGGCACAGGCCAGGGGGUAGCGACUGUUUAGCAAAAACACAGGACUCUGCUAAGUCGGCUUCAAGACGACGUAUAGGGUCUGACGCCUGCCCGGUGCCGGAAGGUUAAGAGGAGGAGUGCAAGCUCCGAAUUGAAGCCCCGGUAAACGGCGGCCGUAACUAUAACGGUCCUAAGGUAGCGAAAUUCCUUGUCG